AGAGUUUGAUCCUGGCUCAGAUUGAACGCUGGCGGCAGGCCUAACACAUGCAAGUCGAGCGGAUGAGUGGAGCUUGCUCCAUGAUUCAGCGGCGGACGGGUGAGUAAUGCCUAGGAAUCUGCCUGGUAGUGGGGGACAACGUUUCGAAAGGAACGCUAAUACCGCAUACGUCCUACGGGAGAAAGCAGGGGACCUUCGGGCCUUGCGCUAUCAGAUGAGCCUAGGUCGGAUUAGCUAGUUGGUGAGGUAAAGGCUCACCAAGGCGACGAUCCGUAACUGGUCUGAGAGGAUGAUCAGUCACACUGGAACUGAGACACGGUCCAGACUCCUACGGGAGGCAGCAGUGGGGAAUAUUGGGCAAUGGGCGAAAGCCUGAUCCAGCCAUGCCGCGUGUGUGAAGAAGGUCUUCGGAUUGUAAAGCACUUUAAGUUGGGAGGAAGGGCAGUAAGCUAAUACCUUGCUGUUUUGACGUUACCGACAGAAUAAGCACCGGCUAACUUCGUGCCAGCAGCCGCGGUAAUACGAAGGGUGCAAGCGUUAAUCGGAAUUACUGGGCGUAAAGCGCGCGUAGGUGGUUCAGCAAGUUGGAUGUGAAAGCCCCGGGCUCAACCUGGGAACUGCAUCCAAGACUACUGAGCUAGAGUACGGUAGAGGGUGGUGGAAUUUCCUGUGUAGCGGUGAAAUGCGUAGAUAUAGGAAGGAACAACAGUGGCGAAGGCGACCACCUGGACUGAUACUGACACUGAGGUGCGAAAGCGUGGGGAGCAAACAGGAUUAGAUACCCCGGUAGUCC
rnacentral:rRNA from 1 species